rnacentral:hammerhead_ribozyme from 1 species
AGCUGGCGGAUGAGUCCCAAAUAGGACGAAAUGCACAUCAUCCUGGU